rnacentral:lncRNA from 10 species
ACCCAUUGAGCACUUCCUGUGAACCAGGCUCCGUGCUAAGCCCUGUACCUGGGAUAUCUUAUUUAAGCCUCAGAACUCUUAUCUCCAGAGUAAUGGUUCACCUAUCUCUUGCCCUGGGAGGCUGACACCUGUAGACUGCAUCUCACGCUCUCCUUGGCCAGCUAGCUUCAAGUUGAGUUCAGCUAGAAAACAACCCUGACAAGGAAAUGAGAAGACUAUUAAAAUGCACCAACCCAAG